GAUUGCAGAUGUUUAAAUGAUGGAGAGUUUCGCAAAGCUGUUACUCGGAGGAGACAUGUCUAGAUGAGGGAAAGGUGUCUCCACUGCCCUUGCUAUCUCAAAUGCCAUCACCAAUCUCUCUGUGUUUUCAGGCAUUGAAGCUAAAUAUGGAGAGGGUUUUGAGACUUUUAGACCUAUUGGACCUCUCAAGGUUUGCGUGGAUUUGUUGAACGACAAACUGCAAGGAGGUUUUCUUAAACGAAUAUGAUAUGCUAUGAAACCGAAUGAAGCUUACUGUCUUCUAUUCUCUUUUGUUAAUUUCGUGGUUUAAACUUUGUUUUUCCAAUACCUUAUCACAAAAUAAUUCCACCUUGGACAAAUUACAAGGUAUGCUGCAACAUGUGCUUUGAUUAAUUGCAUUCAAAUUGAUACUGCUUAAGAAUGCAUUUGAACAUGUUGAAUUUCACGCCCGCAGCAUCGCGCGGGCAAUAUUGCUAGU